GAUGAAGAACGUAGCGAAACGCGAUAAGUAAUGUGAAUUGCAGAAUCCAGUGAAUCAUCGAAUCUUUGAACGCACAUUGCGCCCGCCAGCAUUCUGGCGGGCAUGCCUGUUCGAGCGUCAUUAUAACCCCUCAAGCUCAGCUUGGUGUUGGGGCCUGCUGCACUGGCAGCCCUUAAAAUCAGUGGCGGCGCCAUCUGGCUCUAAGCGUAGUAAUUCUUCUCGCUAUGGAGUCCUGGUGGAUGCUUGCCAUCAACCCCCAAUUUUUCUAUGGUUGACCUCGGAUCAGGUAGGGAUACCCGCUGAACUUAAGCAUAUCAAUAAGCGGAGGA
rnacentral:misc_RNA from 1 species